GGGGCCAUAGCUCAGCUGGGAGAGCGCCUGCCUUGCACGCAGGAGGUCCGCGGUUCGAUCCCGCGUGGCUCCACCA
rnacentral:tRNA from 2 species